ensembl:lncRNA
UUACAGCUUUUCAUUUUUAUUCAUUUGUAAAAAACACAACUUUGACAUUGUGUUUAGGCCAGAGACAAAAUGUGCUAAAGUCAAGGAUCCUUUCUCUGUAGAAAGUACAUAACAGCAUUAACACAAAUGUGCACAGUAAGCUAUAACAAUGUUUAUUAGGUGAUGAUGAUCAUACAACUCAUAUAAAAUAUUUAUUUGUGUUGAUAGUGGGCCAUUUCGGUCACGAUCAGUUGAAUAAGAAUUCUGUGGAAAUGAUGUUCAAUAUUCAUAGAUACAAGAGAAAGUGUCCUGACGGUUUUGUGGAAGGUUGCAAAUGGCACUAGAUGAUUGUGUAAAGGUGUUGCUUUAAAAAGAGUGUUAGGAUUGAGGAGUGGUCAUGCACAGGGUCAGACACACCUCCAUCCUUACAACAGCAAUAACAAGGGAGUGGGAUAGCUUAUGGAAUACAGAAAGAAACCAGCUGAGAUACAAGGUGAUACAAUACUUGAUCAAAGAAAUUAACAUUGGAACAAAUACAAAAAGUGAUUGGUCAACAGGAAGGGUAUGGUGUGAAGGUAAAGUGAUUGGUCAACAGGAAGUGUGUGAAGUUAAAGUGAGUAUAACUUGUGUUUUUAAUGCUGGGUGCAAUCCUGUCAAACAAUAAACCUAUAUAGGUAAGUGAAACCAUGGUAACAUGAUGGAUGGGUACAGCACUCAAGUCGACAUCAGAAGGUUCCUAGAGAGACCAGCUCUCAGAGAAAACACACCUCUCACAGUACAACUAUAAGACAACAUUUCAUUGUUUAUAUGGCAUUGUGCGACACCACAAUUCUCCAUUUGUAUAAAAAAAAGUCACAUUCGAUAUAGUUGGCCACUCAAUAAUCUAAUACUAAAUUAAGUGGAAACAUUCACUGAGUGGACAAAACAUUAAGAACACCUGAUCUUUCCAUGACAGACAAUCCAGGUGAAAGCUAUGAUCACUAAUUGAUGUCACCUGUUAAAUCCACUUCAAUCAGUGUAGAUGAAGGGGAGGAGACAGGUUAAAGAAGGAUUUUUAAGCAUUGAGACAAUUGAGACAUGGAUUGUGUCUGUGUGCCAUUCAGAGGGUCAAUAGGGAAGACAAAAUAUUUAAGUGCCUUUGAACGGGGUAUGGUAGUAGGUGCCAAGCGCACCGGUUUGUUUCAAGAACUGCAACACUGCUGGGUUUUUCACGCUCAACAGUUUCUUGUCCAACACCCAAAGGACAUCCAGCCAACUUGACACAACUGUGGGAAGCAU